rnacentral:lncRNA from 1 species
UUUUUUUUAUCAGCAAAGAAUAAAUAUAAUAAAAAGGGACACUUAAGGGGUGUCCCAACCCGUAUACAAGAGCACACAUAACUUAAGUGAAAGAUAAACAGAGAAAAACAUAAAUUAAACUUAAGCUAUUUAGAACCCCUUACCCCACAUCAAAUUAGAUACAUGGCAUCAGCAUAGAAUCAAAAACACAAUAGAUUACUAAAGAUUACUGAUGGGGAGAUCUCCAGCAUAGCAGCUAUGAUUAGCUAAAAACAUCAGAUUGCUUCUCGAAACCCUCUGACCAAAAUUACCUCCAUGUUCACGUUUGAACUUCUUAAUUAAAAGGGUAAGGGGAAAGUGUUGCUGUUGACGAGCCCAAGACCCUGCAAACACGCUAACCUGGUCCACUUCAACUUCAAGCCACCUUUCAUCACGCCCAACCAAAGAAUCACAGAAAUCAACUGGCCAUCUUGUCCCAUCAACACUAUUUCACAAUUACCUCGUCUUAAUGCGCAUACUGAGACCAACAACCGAACCAAAACAUUCUGUGACAUUCAGAAACCUUCCAACAACACACCAACCAAGAGCCAACUACAGAGGUCACCAACCCAAUCCAACACCCAGCCACAUCAAAAGUGUCAUCCAGACCCAUAGGCCCCUAACCCCCCAAACAAUUGCUAAAGACAAUCAGUCAACAGAGGUAACAACCUAGGCACCACUUACAGCUAGCUAAGUGCAGCACAUCCAUACCAGUCCA